rnacentral:misc_RNA from 1 species
UUAAGUUUAUACCUCCCAGAUUAGUAUCAGCAUAAUCACGACGACGACGUAAAAAAGGUAAAGCUAGAUAGCUCUACUUCACUAUGUGUUAUACCAUGCCCAUGCAUGCAUGCGCUUGAAGGAUAUAUAGCAAGAGAAGGAAGGACACAAAUACAGCGAGCUAGCUGGCUACAUACUUCAUAUAAGUAAGCAAAUGGAUGGAGCCAUGCAUUUGUUAUUAUGUUAAUUAUAUGGCGGCGGCCAUGGCUGACGAGUAUAUGAUAUGCUGAUUAUGAUUCUCCUCCUGCGGCUUCUGCUCGGCCGUGUCCUGACCGAAGAUCUGCUGCACCUCGUAGGCAAGAUCCUCAACACUGAGCUGGCACUCGAGGCCGAUCUUGAGCACCAAGGAGUGGAGGACGGUGUCUUCCAUGGUGCUGAUGUUGAGGUGGAGCACCUCCAGGUGGAGGCCCUCCAGCACGGCGAUGAGCCUGACGGCCUGUCGUCCGGGGAUGCUGCUGCGGCGGGAGAGCGUGCGCAGCAGGACGUUGGAGCCGGAGAUCUUGGCCUCGACGUCGGCCACGGCGGAGUUGCAGCAGGCGGCGAGCUCCUUGAUCAUGACAGGCGGCGACGGGGUGGAAACGGAGGAGAGGAGGUGGGAGCGCGGGCUGGGCGUGGGGCUGGGGCUACCCGUAAGGAAGCUGUGGCCGCCGCCGCUGCUGCGCCGUUUCUUCCUGGCCUCCAGCGACUCCAGCACCUGCUGCAGCUCCUUGAUGAACUCGAUGGCGCCGCCGAUGAUGGAUGCUUGGUCGCCGCGCUUGAUGUAGAGACCGGGCGUCAGGGACCGGAGCACCUUGAGAUGCUCGUUCAUCUGACGCCGCCGGUUGCGCUCCACCGCGAUGUGGGACAUAAUGUGAUCGAUCGACGACUACUGGUUGGCCGGCCGCCCCCUGAUGCAUGUAUCAUCC